rnacentral:rRNA from 1 species
AUUGAACGCUGGCGGCAGGCCUAACACAUGCAAGUAGAACGAGUGGCGGACGGGUGAGUAAUGUCUGGGAAACUGUCUGAUGGAGGGGGAUAACUACUGAAAACGGUAGCUAAUACCGCAUACACUGAGAUGUGCCCAGAUGGGUUUAGCUUGGUGGUGGGGUAACGGCUCACCAAGGCGACGAUCCCUAGCUGGUCUGAGAGGGUGGCCAGCCCAACUGGAACUGAGACACGGUCCAGACUCCUACGGGAGCCAGCAGUGGGGAAUAUUGCACAUUGGGCGCAAGCCUGAUGCAGCCAUGCCGCGUGUAUGAAGAGGGCCUUCGGGUUGUAAAGUACUUUCAGCGGGGCGGCGUUACCCGCAGAAGAAGCACCGGCUAACUCCGUGCCAGCAGCCGCGGUAAUUC